AUGAAAUACAACAUAUGGGAGACAAGCAUACUUGAUUCUGUAGCUUGAUCAAAAUGUAAUUAAUAAUUAUUAAUUAAAUAAAAUGAUAAAAUAGACAAACCAAAUCCACUUACGACAUCUACCCUCUUUCAAAAUGGGUUUGAUUUUAGAUGGGUUUGAUGGAUUACCCGACCCAUGCUCAUCAAUGUAAAAUCAAUACGUAGCUCAAUCAACCUACUAUCUCCGACAAAGAAAAAACAAUCUAAUGAACCAGCUUAACCGGUUGGUUUGGCAGCCGAUUCGAAACAAUAAUCUGGACCCACGUCAUCAAAAUCCAAUGACGUGUCAUCUUCUUCCAUCUCCCACCUCUGCAACAUCUCCAUUUCCUCUGCAACUUAAAAAAAAGCCUCCUUGCAGACUGACUGACUAAAAGCAUCCAUCUUUUUCUCCCUUUAACCCCGUGCGAGCUCACGGGCUUCUCAGCCAUCACAAGAAAAACGAUUCAGGAUAACAAAGACGUCAAGGCAAGAAAACAAAAAAGUUAGUAUGGACACAAGUUUCAGCGCUGCCAGUAAUCAUGGGCAGGUGAUGGACGGUUCGGAUAUAAUGGAGUUGGUUGGGAACCAGCAGGUGUUUACCAGCUUCAUCGAUCACAAGUUCUCUGAACUCGAUACAGAUAACGACGGCCAUCUCUCUGUCAAGGAGCUCCAUCCUGCUGUCGCCGACAUUG
rnacentral:lncRNA from 1 species